AGUGAACGCUGGCGGUAGGCCUAACACAUGCAAGUCGAACGGCAGCACAGUAAGAGCUUGCUCUUACGGGUGGCGAGUGGCGGACGGGUGAGGAAUACAUCGGAAUCUACUUUUUCGUGGGGGAUAACGUAGGGAAACUUACGCUAAUACCGCAUACGACCUACGGGUGAAAGCAGGGGAUCUUCGGACCUUGCGCGAUUGAAUGAGCCGAUGUCGGAUUAGCUAGUUGGCGGGGUAAAGGCCCACCAAGGCGACGAUCCGUAGCGGGUCUGAGAGGAUGAUCAGCCACACUGGAACUGAGACACGGUCCAGACUCCUACGGGAGGCAGAAGGGGGGAAUAUUGGACAAUGGGCGAAAGCCUGAUCAAGCCAUACCGAGUGGGUGAAGAAGGCCUUCGGGUGGUAAAGCCCUUUUGUUGGGAAAGAAAAGCAGCAGGUUAAUACCCCGCUGUUCUGACGGUACCCAAAGAAUAAGCACCGGCUAACUUCGU
rnacentral:rRNA from 1 species